CCAGUACAUAGCCGGAGGAGUUGCGAUGAUCGGCAUUGGCGUUGCCGAUCACGGUGCCCACCCCGUCACGGGUCGCGUCGGCGGUCUUGGCC
rnacentral:tRNA from 1 species